GAUGAACGCUGGCGGCGUGCCUAAUACAUGCAAGUCGAGCGAACAGACGAGGAGCUUGCUCCUCUGACGUUAGCGGCGGACGGGUGAGUAACACGUGGAUAACCUACCUAUAAGACUGGGAUAACUUCGGGAAACCGGAGCUAAUACCGGAUAAUAUAUUGAACCGCAUGGUUCAAUAGUGAAAGACGGUCUUGCUGUCACUUAUAGAUGGAUCCGCGCCGCAUUAGCUAGUUGGUAAGGUAACGGCUUACCAAGGCGACGAUGCGUAGCCGACCUGAGAGGGUGAUCGGCCACACUGGAACUGAGACACGGUCCAGACUCCUACGGGAGGCAGCAGUAGGGAAUCUUCCGCAAUGGGCGAAAGCCUGACGGAGCAACGCCGCGUGAGUGAUGAAGGUCUUCGGAUCGUAAAACUCUGUUAUUAGGGAAGAACAAAUGUGUAAGUAACUAUGCACAUCUUGACGGUACCUAAUCAGAAAGCCACGGCUAACUACGUG
rnacentral:rRNA from 1 species